GCAGUAUUCCAUUGUGUGUGUGUGUGUGCGUGUGUAUAUAUGUGUGUUUAUAUAUAUGUAUAUAUACAUAUUUAUAUAAUAUACCACACCUUCAUUAUCCAGUCAUCUGUCAGUGAACAUUUGGGUUGUUUCAGUGUCUUGGCUAUUGUAAAUAGUGCUGCUGUGAACAUUGGGGUGCAUGUGUCUUUUUGAAUUAUAUUCUUCUCCAGACAUAUACCCAUGAAUGGGAUUGCUGGAUGACAUGGAAAUCUAUUUUUAGUUUCUUAAGGAACCUCUAUACUGUCCUCCAUAGUGGCUGCACCAAUUUACAUUCCCACCAACUGAGUAGGAGGGUUCCUUUUUCUCUUAAAAGGUCAAAAAUUCUCUACAUUUAUAUACUUUCCUUACAGUUUAGGACACAAUUUGGCAAAAGCCAGAUAGAAUUUAAUAGCAGUUAAUACAGUAUUUUUUUUUAAAUGGCCAUGCAUUAUGGAUAGAUAUGUUACUGAUGAGUUGGUUCUCUAUUUUUGUAGAUGCAGAAGUUUUUAUAGCUUCACAGACAUUUCAGACUUGCAGAGAGAAAAAUUUCUUUACAUUUUGCUGAACUUGUCCGGGUGGCUUUAUCGAAUUUGGUCCAGGCCUGCAGAGAGAAAACAUGAGCCUAUGAAUCCAACAUCAUCUAUGAUGGUCUGCAGCUGGGAACAACCAGAUCAGUGUCAGUCCCUUUGCAGCCAUUGGUUGGGAGCAUGCAUAUUACCUGGAAUGGUAUUUGAAACAUGUCACACUAGCCGUGCCUUUGCUGUGGGCUGGGAGGCGAGUUUUGGAUGACAAGCUUGUAUUUGCAAAAGUACACACCCUGUGGGAGGUGCUCUGCACAUACGUUGAGAUACUGCACAUAAAAUUGCCUCUGAAGCCCAAUGAUCUGAAAACCCGGUCCUCAGCCUUUGAUAAUUUCAGCUGUUAUCUGAAAGUCCCCCAAGUGGAUGAAAGUAUCAUCAAGCUGGAGCAAGAGUUUUUCAUUGCCCUAUUUGAGAAGAGCUGCGUGAAUGACUUUUAUAUCCAGGAUAGAGAUACAUUGUUCAAUCCAGCCACCAGAAGCUGCAUUGUAAGUCUAAACCGAGUUUAGCAGCUGUCUUGGGGGUGAUUUAGAGCCUGCUGUUGAAUUAUCAGUGAUUUGGUUUGGUUGGUUUGGUUUGGUUUUUAAAAGCUGCCCAUAAAAAGAAAAAAAGAGAAAGAAAAGAAAUAUGCCUAGAGAUUCCUGUUAGGAUAAUAAACAGUGGCUGGUUAGUUACCCUGUAUAAACCACACACUCUCUUAGAAUCUUUUUAGGUUUACUUCAUCCUUUCUCAGAUCAAGUACCAACUAAGGGAUAGUGUUAAAAAAAAUUCGGGAUUAACAGGCUUGUGAGCUCUGGGAUCUGCAAGGCAGCUUUCCCUCCCCAUGGUGUAAGUCAAAUGGCAGAAAUGAAAUAAAGCACGUCAUGUAUCCUCCGGUGUUAACAGGAAAAGGCUAAUAUUCUUGACCUUGUUUCUUCCUGGGUAAAAUGAAGACAAUAUGUCAGGAGGCGAGACGCUCACUUAGGGCAAGAACCAUGUUGUUUUGUUCAUUGCUAAAUCCCAGGCACCGGGAAGGCUGAGUUUAAUAAGUGAAUGGAUGAAGUGUAGUUCCCCCAGAGUUACCAUGUGGGGCAGUGCGGAUUAGCAGCUAAGAGCAUAGACUCGAGAGGGGAGGGUACAGCUCAAGUGAUGGUGUGCAUGCUUAGCACGCAUAAGGUCCUGGGUUCAGCCCCCAACACCUCCUCUAAAAUAAACCAAUAACCCUAAUUACCUCCCCACCCCCCACCAUAAUUACCUUAUUAUCUCCCCGCCACAAAAAAAAAAAAAAAAGAGAAGUGGCCAAGAGCGCAGAGUCAGGCUGGAACACCUGUGCUGGUUUCUCGCUGUCGACCUUGUAAAAGUCAUUUAGCCACUGUGUUUAUCAAGUUCCUCAUCAAUAAAAUGGGGCUAAUAAUAGUGCCCACCUCGUAGAGUUGCUAUGGUGAUUAAUGAAUCUGUGUCAAUGUUAG